rnacentral:piRNA from 1 species
UGAGUAAGUACAGGGGCAGAUGCU